GUUUCUGCUCAGGACGAACGCUGGCGGCGUGCCUAAUACAUGCAAGUCGAACGAACUCUGGUAAUGAUUGGUGCUUGCAUCAUGAUUUACAUUUGAGUGAGUGGCGAACUGGUGAGUAACACGUGGGAAACCUGCCCAGAAGCGGGGGAUAACACCUGGAAACAGAUGCUAAUACCGCAUAACAACUUGGACCGCAUGGUCCGAGUUUGAAAGAUGGCUUCGGCUAUCACUUUUGGAUGGUCCCGCGGCGUAUUAGCUAGAUGGUGAGGUAACGGCUCACCAUGGCAAUGAUACGUAGCCGACCUGAGAGGGUAAUCGGCCACAUUGGGACUGAGACACGGCCCAAACUCCUACGGGAGGCAGCAGUAGGGAAUCUUCCACAAUGGACGAAAGUCUGAUGGAGCAACGCCGCGUGAGUGAAGAAGGGUUUCGGCUCGUAAAACUCUGUUGUUGAAGAAGAACAUAUGUGAGAGUAACUGUUCAGGUAUUGACGGUAUUCAACCAGAAAGCCACGGCUAACUACGUGCCAGCAGCCGCGGUAAUACGUAGGUGGCAAGCGUUGUCCGGAUUUAUUGGGCGUAAAGCGAGCGCAGGCGGUUUUUUAAGUCUGAUGUGAAAGCCUUCGGCUCAACCGAAGAAGUGCAUCGGAAACUGGGAAACUUGAGUGCAGAAGAGGACAGUGGAACUCCAUGUGUAGCGGUGAAAUGCGUAGAUAUAUGGAAGAACACCAGUGGCGAAGGCGGCUGUCUGGUCUGUAACUGACGCUGAGGCUCGAAAGUAUGGGUAGCAAACAGGAUUAGAUACCCUGGUAGUCCAUACCGUAAACGAUGAAUGCUAAGUGUUGGAGGGUUUCCGCCCUUCAGUGCUGCAGCUAACGCAUUAAGCAUUCCGCCUGGGGAGUACGGCCGCAAGGCUGAAACUCAAAGGAAUUGACGGGGGCCCGCACAAGCGGUGGAGCAUGUGGUUUAAUUCGAAGCUACGCGAAGAACCUUACCAGGUCUUGACAUACUAUGCUCAUCUGAGAGAUUAGACGUUCCCUUCGGGGACAUGGAUACAGGUGGUGCAUGGUUGUCGUCAGCUCGUGUCGUGAGAUGUUGGGUUAAGUCCCGCAACGAGCGCAACCCUUAUUAUCAGUUGCCAGCAUUAAGUUGGGCACUCUGGUGAGACUGCCGGUGACAAACCGGAGGAAGGUGGGGAUGACGUCAAAUCAUCAUGCCCCUUAUGACCUGGGCUACACACGUGCUACAAUGGAUGGUACAACGAGUUGCGAACUCGCGAGAGCAAGCUAAUCUCUUAAAGCCAUUCUCAGUUCGGAUUGUAGGCUGCAACUCGCCUACAUGAAGUCGGAAUCGCUAGUAAUCGCGGAUCAGCAUGCCGCGGUGAAUACGUUCCCGGGCCUUGUACACACCGCCCGUCACACCAUGAGAGUUUGUAACACCCAAAGUCGGUGGGGUAACCUUUUAAGAACCAGACGCCUAUGGUGGGACAGAUGAGUAUGGUGAAGUCGCAACAGGGGAUCCGCAAAAGCGGGACAAUGGGUCAGAAGGUAGCUAUGAGGUAUUAGGAUAUGGAGAGAGGUGAUAUCCGCGAUGCU
rnacentral:rRNA from 1 species